rnacentral:misc_RNA from 1 species
UUUCCGUAGGUGAACCUGCGGAAGGAUCAUUACUGAGUUGUCAUGGGGUUCGAUGCUGGCAGACAGUUUUUGGAUGCAUGUGCUUGCCCUAACAAUCAUCUUCUUCCAAACACCUGUGCACAUUUUUGAGGGAGUCUUGAGUUGGUUGCCGCUCUUGGGUGAUUUUCUCACAUUCCCUUAAAUCAUUAUACGCUAUUAACAAUGUUGAACGUGCUCUGUGCCGCAAGGCCAUUAAUAUAAUACAACUUUUAACAACGGAUCUCUUGGCUCUC